rnacentral:tRNA from 12 species
GUGUCCGGGCUUCAAAUCUGCAGGGACUCAGAG